rnacentral:rRNA from 1 species
CCAGACUCCUACGGGAGGCAGCAGUGGGGAAUAUUGCACAAUGGGGGAAACCCUGAUGCAGCGACGCCGCGUGGGUGAAGGAGUACUUCGGUACGUAAAGCCCUAUCAGCAGGAAAGAAAAUGACGGUACCUGACUAAGAAGCCCCGGCUAACUACGUGCCAGCAGCCGCGGUAAUACGUAGGGGGCAAGCGUUAUCCGGAUUUACUGGGUGUAAAGGGAGCGUAGACGGCUGUGCAAGCCAGAUGUGAAAGCCCGGGGCUCAACCCCGGGACUGCAUUUGGAACUGCGUGGCUUGAGUGUCGGAGAGGCAGGCGGAAUUCCUAGUGUAGCGGUGAAAUGCGUAGAUAUUAGGAGGAACACCAGUGGCGAAGGCGGCCUGCUGGACGAUGACUGACGUUGAGGCUCGAAAGCGUGGGGAGCAAACAGGAUUAGAUACCCUCGUAU